rnacentral:rRNA from 1 species
GACGAACGCUGGCGGCGUGCUUAACACAUGCAAGUCGAACGGAAAGGCCCUGCUUUUGUGGGGUGCUCGAGUGGCGAACGGGUGAGUAACACGUGAGUAACCUGCCCUUGACUUCGGGAUAACUUCAGGAAACUGGGGCUAAUACCGGAUAGGAGCUCCUGCUGCAUGGUGGGGGUUGGAAAGUUUCGGCGGUUGGGGAUGGACUCGCGGCUUAUCAGCUUGUUGGUGGGGUAGUGGCUUACCAAGGCUUUGACGGGUAGCCGGCCUGAGAGGGUGACCGGCCACAUUGGGACUGAGAUACGGCCCAGACUCCUACGGGAGGCAGCAGUGGGGAAUAUUGCACAAUGGGCGGAAGCCUGAUGCAGCAACGCCGCGUGCGGGAUGACGGCCUUCGGGUUGUAAACCGCUUUCGCCUGUGACGAAGCGUGAGUGACGGUAAUGGGUAAAGAAGCACCGGCUAACUACGUGCCAGCAGCCGCGGUGAUACGUAGGGUGCGAGCGUUGUCCGGAUUUAUUGGGCGUAAAGGGCUCGUAGGUGGUUGAUCGCGUCGGAAGUGUAAUCUUGGGGCUUAACCCUGAGCGUGCUUUCGAUACGGGUUGACUUGAGGAAGGUAGGGGAGAAUGGAAUUCCUGGUGGAGCGGUGGAAUGCGCAGAUAUCAGGAGGAGCACCAGUGGCGAAGGCGGUUCUCUGGGCCUUUCCUGACGCUGAGGAGCGAAAGCGUGGGGAGCGAACAGGCUUAGAUACCCUGGUAGUCCACGCUGUAAACGGUGGGUACUAGGUGUGGGGUCCAUUCCACGGGUUCCGUGCCGUAGCUAACGCUUUAAGUACCCCGCCUGGGGAGUACGGCCGCAAGGCUAAAACUCAAAGGAAUUGACGGGGCCCCGCACAAGCGGCGGAGCAUGCGGAUUAAUUCGAUGCAACGCGUAGAACCUUACCUGGGUUUGACAUGGAUCGGGAGUGCUCAGAGAUGGGUGUGCCUCUUUUGGGGUCGGUUCACAGGUGGUGCAUGGCUGUCGUCAGCUCGUGUCGUGAGAUGUUGGGUUAAGUCCCGCAACGAGCGCAACCCUUGUUCACUGUUGCCAGCACGUUAUGGUGGGGACUCAGUGGAGACCGCCGGGGUCAACUCGGAGGAAGGUGGGGAUGACGUCAAGUCAUCAUGCCCCUUAUGUCCAGGGCUUCACGCAUGCUACAAUGGCUGGUACAGAGAGUGGCGAGCCUGUGAGGGUGAGCGAAUCUCGGAAAGCCGGUCUCAGUUCGGAUUGGGGUCUGCAACUCGACCUCAUGAAGUCGGAGUCGCUAGUAAUCGCAGAUCAGCAACGCUGCGGUGAAUACGUUCCCGGG